AUGGCUUUAUUCAGACAAAAAUACAAAGCUUCUGAUUUCAGUGCCCAGCUUGUGUCCCCCCAGUGGGCCUGGCAAUCUGCUCACCUCACUUCUCACCAAGCCCGAGCCCGGGGAGUGAAGUCCCGUGAGCAAGCUGGCCGGAUGGGCAGGAGGUGGAGGGUGGGUGACACAGUAACAACUUCAAUGGGAACAGAAGCGUCAAGCAGCACUCUGCAAGAUCACUGCUGUGUCUCUGAGUUCCAGGCGUGGACAGGCUGCCCGGAGACCAGCCUGCAACUCUGCCAGCCAGGGACAGCCCGGACCUGGAGGAGCAGGCGGGGGAGAGGUAACUGCUGGGAGGGGCUCAGGACUCAGUGGACCCCAGCAUUCAAAAGGCUUUCCCUGCUACAGCGAAUCUCAGCCCAACAAGCCAUGGUUUAGAGAAUAUUCUUCACGGCAUCCUUUUCUCUCAUCCUACUCUCCCAGUGUAAAAUGCCACUUCUGAAGUAUGUGGAGCAGUACCACACUGCAGCAUGGACAGAUCCCACGUCAGGAGCUCAAAGACAGCUCCAGGGCAGGGAAGGAAGCAGGGACUGCAAGGAGAGGCUGCGAGGAAGGCUCCGGGAGCCGCGGGCUCCCAGUACACGGGGCUUUUUUAUCCCUGCCACCCAGUGUCACUCCUCAAAGGGGUGACUUCGGAUCUCUGGUUUGAAGGGCUGUUCCAGUUACAUAGAAUAUAGAACUUUUACAAAAGCAAAGGGGACCAAGGUGGAGGGAGAGGCGAGGCAGGUGAGAGGGCAAGAAUAAGAAAAGAAUUAAGACGUGUUAUGCACAUGGACCAACUCCUCAUGAGGAGAUAUACUGCAAAGAUGGACUAAUGGAAGUGAAAAUUUUUAAAAAUGGCACCAUGGUUGUUUUCAAGGAAAGUUCAAGGAGACAGAUUUCAGUACAAACAACAAUCGUACCAAUGUCCAAAGCCAGGGAAAAUACCAUAGUGAACAAGAAACCCAGAUGAUUCAACAUCUGACUACUUCAGCCUACUGCCCCACGAGACACAGAGGAAUAGAAGACAGACCAGAAGUUCACAGAACAGGAAAAUCUACACCAUUUCUCACCUAGAUAUCUUAGUAUCUUCUCUGAGAGAUCCACCCAGAGAUUGCUAUGAAAGCUGGAGGAAAUUCUAGCUCCUGGGCUCCAGAUUUUAAAGCCAGGAACAAUGGCCAAGUAACAAUCUGCUUUUAGUUCUUCCCCAACAACUUAACACUGGGUUGGAAAAAAAUGACAGGAAGACACUAACUCCAACUACUAGAGCUCUUCCUGGCUUCAGCACCAGCUUUAUAAAACAAAUGUGAAUUGUUUCUUCUCUCACCAAGGUUAUCCUGGUAAAAACGGCUAGGGCUUAUAGGUCAGGAUUCUUAGCAAGGAAGAAUUACCAGUAUUUCACUAGAGGAGACCAGGAGACCAUUUGCCAUUGUUGGGGGCUGGCUUGGGGGCAAAGCAGUUCUAGUAUCUCAUGCUGCUUUCCACAGCCCACAGCUUGGUGAGCUUCCCUGUGCACCCCAAAGACACUUUGAGGGGGAACAGUGGGAUCCUGAGACUUGGGAUGGAGGCAUCUGUGGGGAUAUGGGUGAAGACUUGACACCUGAGUGUGCCCCGUCCAAGGCUGUGGAGGUGAGUCUGCCUCCACUCACCCAAGAACAGCAGUCUUUCCUUGCCUGGAGAGGAAGAACACCUCUGAGUUGAGUGUCUUGCAAGGUGGCGCUUGUCCUCCUUGGGGUCCUCUCCACUGACUGCCUUAACUGCUUUCAGGUUGAUAAUGUGUCCUGUCCCAAUGUGCCAUGCCAAAGAAAGUACAGCCUCUGCACUGGGAAGAAAUCACUUACUGCACAAGUUACAGGAAGAUUCUGAUGGGAAAGAGAAAAGGGUGAAGGUAUUAGAUUGAACCUGAUGCAUGAGAUACAAGGCUGAAGAGAUGGGAGUUUAUUGGCCUGGAAAUGUAUUCCCGUGACUCAAGGUUCCACAUCCUGUCAGACACUUGGAACUUGUCCCAACACACAGCCUCAAGGUGCCCUGAAAGUGGGACACAGCAAUGAUGUAGAGAUGCCAGAGCUGCCUCGAGUUGGUCAGGUGGCUCAGGGAGGUGGGAAUAGUAGAAUGAGGAUUCUAGGGGAUUCAUUGCCUUACAUGUUUCAAGGGAUACUCCCUUCACCAGGACAAUAAGAAAUGUACAAACCAGUUUUUAGAAGGCUAGGGCAGUGUCCUUUAUGGAUCCAGGUUCACAGAGGAAAAUGCUACCUCAGAAUGGGGCUCCAUAAGGUUGAUGGCAACAAAAGGAUUCUGCGAGUUCAGAGUCCAGGUAGCUGCACUUAAACAACAAAGGCCAGAGGGGCACAAUUAGUGUAAUAGGCAGUGAGACCAGAGCCGUAACCAGAGUGUCGUGUCCUAGGGCUCUGGGGCACUGGCUAGUAGACCACUGUGUUCUUGGGGAUGAAAACAAGACAUGACUUGAGAAAUGGUUAUUUAACAUCAUGACCAGAGAAAACUGAAAGCAAGUGAGUAGCAGGCAAGCACUGGCAAGGGCAAAGCAUAAUCCUUUUAGAGUUUCCAGACCUGAGCUAGAGGCAAGUGACAGAAAGGAGUGCCUGAACCCCUCAAAGAAAGAUCCUGCAACCCCAUCACAAAUAUAUGAGAAAUACAGUGAAAUUCAAAUUUAAAAAUUGUUCAGAGUAAAAGACACAUUGACAUUAAUCCCUCUCAAAAUACUCUCCUCACUUUGAACACAUUAUCCCAUUGUUCUUGCCACUUUCUGCAGCAGUUCUGGAAGUCCUCUGUCCUGAGUGUCCUUACAAGGAGUAAAUGCUGCUGCUGAGUGGCAUCUGAUGGAAACAUAUGAACACAUGGCAGUGUGUGCUCACCCCCCUUCUUCACUGGGUCUGGCACUAUGUGACUUCUGGCCCCUUUCCAAAGUCAAAAUGACCAUGAAAGGUCAAGGGUUUUGAAUAAAUUCAGGACACAGAGGCAGCCACAAUAGUGCAGCUACAAGGUGUGAUUGGAGAAAAAAAUGGUGACUGUUUAAUUUCUUUGUAGUUUUUUACAGUAGAAGACAAUGCCAUUAACCUCCUUCAACAUACUCACCCUCACUUCAGACACACUCAUCCCAUCCUUCUUGCUGCUUCUGAAGCAGUUCUGGCAGUCCUCUUUUCUAUCAUUAGUUGUUCGGUCAUGGCUGCCUCAACGUCCUGAACGGAUUCAAAACAUUUCCCUUUCAUGGUCAUUCUGACUUUGAGGAAGAGCCAGAGCCAGAUCCCGUGAUGAGGUGGGAGAGGACACAUUGUGAUGUCUCCAUGAGCCUGAAUUUCUGUUGGACGGUGUUUGGUAGCUGUGUUCACAGAAGACAUCCAGGAAGGGGACCUUCACAACCGCUUCAGAAAGCGGCAAGAGUAAUGGAAUAGGUGUGUUUGCAGUAAGGGGAGGAUGUUGAGGGAAUCAGCAGCAGUGUGUCUUUUACUGUAGUAAUAUUUUUAGUUUAAACAUUCACCAUAUAUUUCAGUCACACCUGGUAAGUACAUUCACUCACUUUAGUCACGCAAGCUCGGAGCAAUGACUGCAAGGCGGCCUGCCUGUACCCCCUGGCCUCCUAAGUCCCCACUUUGUUGCCAGGUGAUGACACCUUUUGGGUCUCCUGUUAUCAGUGUUGCUCUGAUCCUACAUCUAACAGCCCUAGGAAAGUCUGGGUAAAUAGGUGUCUUGGCAGGGAGAGCCCAAGCACUAAUAUUUUGUUUUCCUAAAGAAAUAGUGCACAAGUUUGGCCUCUUUUAAUUUUGGAGGCAGCAGCUUCACAUGGAGGGUGCUCCUCUAACCCAUUCGUGGAUGACUCAGAAGUCUGCCAGUUUCAAGUAAUGCCCAGAACCAGAGACGUCUGCAGUGGGAUUGGGAAGUGUAGCUCCCUUCCUCGUUGCUAAGACUAUGACUCAGGUGAGCUGGGGGAGCGCAUGGGAGAAGGCAGCUCAGAGCCCAGUGCUCUGAGUCAGAGAACUGCCCCGUGCUUCCUCAAACAGUUUCCAGUGUGUCCUGGGUCCUACUAGAGCCUGAGCACUGGCUGGGGGACAUAGAGCCAUUGCUAUUGGAGAUGGCCACUCUGAGCCGUAAACCGGGAAAUUCUCUAAGCUAUAAGAACAUGUGCACCAUGGCCAUAGGGUGGAAAUAAUGCAUGUCGGUCAGGUCUGAGCAAGUCCACAGGGUACAGGUCAGCUUCAUGGACGGGGAUCUGAUUCAUGUGCUGCCAACCUGUGCUAUACCCACGCUUCUCCUCCAUCCCACACCCACAGCCUCAAGAGAUGUCCCCUGUGACCGAAUGACAGAGGAGGGAAAAAACACAAGCAUGUUUUUAAAGUGAAAUGUGUUGGGAGCCACUGGAGUUGGUCGUUGGCCAUGUGUGUGAGGGUGGGACAGAUCCACAGUGCCUCAGGCAGUCAAGCUACCUCCGUAUUGAGAAGAGUAUCCGGCUUGGACAGUUACAGCCUUAGUCUUAGUCUCUGUCGCUAGGCAACAUUAUCUCUCAUGGUACUACUUUGCAAGUGUAUAAAAUAAACGCCCCUACUGUUGGAGCCAGUCCUCUUGCUCACCAGGCAAGAGGUAACUCCACCUGACCCCCAGCUAUUGUCUCUUGUCAUUAUUUUCUAUAUCCUCUCACCAUUUUCUCCUGGG
rnacentral:lncRNA from 1 species